AGCCAUCUCUCGUUUGAGGCCAGUGAAAUCGCCUCCCAUCACCGUACUUGCUCAGGGCCAGAGCUCCAGGUGCAUACCCCCAGAGGCUUCAAGGUUAAUUCUCCUUCCUGGGUAGUCUCCAAGCAGACUGUGCUCGGUUCCAGUGAUGUAUUUUCGUGCUAGCUAGCCCCCCCUUUUUUGCAAGGAACACGUCAUCAUGCGGCCAGAUGUGGUAGAUCACUAACGACGGAAGUCUUGCAGCCGUUAUGCUAGAGAAACGCCACAGCUGAUAAAAGUCACCGUGUUUAAACACGUUCACUUAGCGGCGGCUAUCGAAUGUUAGAUGCAUAAACUCAUGAGGUAUUACUGUUGUCUAAUUGAAGCUAACAUGCCUGACGGUGCUCUAAGGAAAUGACCACCCCGUUAGCAAAUAAUACCGCUGUACAAUUUGAAUCUAUAAAGGGCAAGGACUGCAA
rnacentral:lncRNA from 1 species